GGUGAAAACUGUAAACUUUUCUUCAAAGCAUGAGCAAUCAGGAAGAACUAGAUAAACUCAGAACCGACGACUGGAACGACAAUACACAAGAACUUGUAGAAACAUUCCAACUUUUCCAUCUUUCAAGAACACAAUGUACAGACUAUGUAACAACAUACUUGGUUGAACAGAACAGUCACCGUUUGAACCACUACUUAACACAAGGAGCAAGGACAAUAAAUCAUCUAGAGGGAUGACACAGCAACCUGAAGAAGCUUGUCAUGCAUCCACAUCUGAACAUCUUUCAACUAAUUAAACUUCUGAAACACCCUGACCAUGAUCCAGUAUACAGCCAGUGGGAAGAGAGUGGCCCCCAAAAAGAAGUAUGUAGACAUCAAC
rnacentral:lncRNA from 1 species